GAUGAACGCUGGCGGCGUGCCUAAUACAUGCAAGUCGAGCGAACAGACGAGGAGCUUGCUCCUCUGACGUUAGCGGCGGACGGGUGAGUAACACGUGGAUAACCUACCUAUAAGACUGGGAUAACUUCGGGAAACCGGAGCUAAUACCGGAUAAUAUAUUGAACCGCAUGGUUCAAUAGUGAAAGACGGUUUUGCUGUCACUUAUAGAUGGAUCCGCGCCGCAUUAGCUAGUUGGUAAGGUAACGGCUUACCAAGGCAACGAUGCGUAGCCGACCUGAGAGGGUGAUCGGCCCCACUGGAGCUGAGACACGGUCCAGACUCCUACGGGAGGCAGCAGUAGGGAAUCUUCCGCAAUGGGCGAAAGCCUGACGGAGCAACGCCGCGUGAGUGAUGAAGGUCUUCGGAUCGUAAAACUCUGUUAUUAGGGAAGACCAAAUGUGUAAGUAACUAUGCACGUCUUGACGGUACCUAAUCAGAAAGCCACGGCUAACUACGUG
rnacentral:rRNA from 1 species